AGCUAUGACAGAUAACUGCACGGAGAUAGCAGAAUUCUGGCAAAGACCAUACCACAGCAUGAGGCCCACAAUGAGGGAGCUCUAAGAUUCUACAUUCCACAAGCUGUGAACCCCCAUUGGGACAGGCAGAUCCAAGAGCCCAGAAAGAAAUGAAGGCGUUUUCCAGGGAUCUCAUGACUUUAUUGACAUCAUGCAGCUUGAGAACGUGGGGAUGUUCUAUCAGCUUCAGGAUCGCAAUCUCUCUUUCCACCUGCAAGAAUGGGAAUGAGACACAGAGAUCCAUGCAAACACCUCAAGCCUGCCAGCACAUCACCGCAAACUACAUC